UAUUUCAAGUUGAUGAUUUGUUGGCUAAAGAAGAAAUGUUAGCUUCGUUUUAUAUAUAUAUAUAUAUAUCAUCUUUGGAAUUUGGCCUUUUCUUUUAAGGUGUCAGCUAGUGCCACGAAUGAUCUUUCUCAACAACAUAUUCAAAUACGUGAACGUAUUUGAAGAUGGAUGAUGGACAAUUGAUGGGAAGAUUGCAACUUGCAAGGAUAAUUAAUAUUGAGAUCAAAAUACAAUCAGUCUCCUCUACUUGAUGAAUUGUAUUAAUUUUCUUAUAUGAAUUUUGAUCAUCUAGCUUUUAGAGUGUGACUU